rnacentral:rRNA from 1 species
AUUGAACGCUGGCGGCAUGCCUUACACAUGCAAGUCGAACGGUUACAGGUCUUCGGAUGCUGACGAGUGGCGAACGGGUGAGUAAUACAUCGGAACGUGCCUAGUAGUGGGGGAUAACUACUCGAAAGAGUGGCUAAUACCGCAUGAGAUCUACGGAUGAAAGCAGGGGAUCGCAAGACCUUGUGCUACUAGAGCGGCCGAUGGCAGAUUAGGUAGUUGGUGGGAUAAAAGCUUACCAAGCCGACGAUCUGUAGCUGGUCUGAGAGGACGAUCAGCCACACUGGGACUGAGACACGGCCCAGACUCCUACGGGAGGCAACAGUGGGGAAUUUUGGACAAUGGGCGCAAGCCUGAUCCAGCAAUGCCGCGUGCAGGAUGAAGGCCUUCGGGUUGUAAACUGCUUUUGUACGGAACGAAAAGCCUUGGGUUAAUACCCUGGGGUCAUGACGGUACCGUAAGAAUAAGCACCGGCUAACUACGUGCCAGCAGCCGCCGUAACAC